CUACGGUGCUGAAGCAACAAAUGCCCUGCUUCCAGGAAAAGCCUCUAAGCCUCAGGUAACAUCAGAUCGUACCCGAAACCGACACAGGUGGUCAGGUAGAGAAUACCAAGGCGCUUGAGAGAACCCGGGUGAAGGAACUAGGCAAAAUGGUGCCGUAACUUCGGGAGAAGGCACGCUGACACGUAGGUGAAGCGGUUUACCCGUGGAGCUGAAGUCAGUCGAAGAUACCAGCUGGCUGCAACUGUUUAUUAAAAACACAGCACUGUGCAAACACGAAAGUGGACGUAUACGGUGUGACGCCUGCCCGGUGCCGGAAGGUUAAUUGAUGGGGUCAGCGCAAGCGAAGCUCCUGAUCGAAGCCCCGGUAAACGGCGGCCGUAACUAUAACGGUCCUAAGGUAGCGAAAUUCCUUGUCGGGUAAGUUCCGACCUGCACGAAUGGCGUAAUGAUGGCCAGGCUGUCUCCACCCGGGACUCAGUGAAAUUGAACUCGCUGUGAAGAUGCAGUGUACCCGCGGCAAGACGGAAAGACCCCGUGAACCUUUACUAUAGCUUGACACUGAACACUGGUCCUUGAUGUGCAGGAUAGGUGGGAGGCUUUGAAGUGUGGACGCCAGUCUGCAUGGAGCCGUCCUUGAAAUACCACCCUUUAAUGGCUGGUGUUCUAACGUAGACCCGUGAACCGGGUUGCGGACAGUGUCUGGUGGGUAGUUUGACUGGGGCGGUCUCCUCCUAAAGCGUAACGGAGGAGCACGAAGGUUGGCUAAUCCUGGUCGGACAUCAGGAGGUUAGUGCAAUGGCAUAAGCCAGCUUGACUGCGAGCGUGACGGCGCGAGCAGGUGCGAAAGCAGGUCAUAGUGAUCCGGUGGUUCUGAAUGGAAGGGCCAUCGCUCAACGGAUAAAAGGUACUCCGGGGAUAACAGGCUGAUACCGCCCAAGAGUUCAUAUCGACGGCGGUGUUUGGCACCUCGAUGUCGGCUCAUCACAUCCUGGGGCUGAAGUAGGUCCCAAGGGUAUGGCUGUUCGCCAUUUAAAGUGGUACGCGAGCUGGGUUUAGAACGUCGUGAGACAGUUCGGUCCCUAUCUGCCGUGGGCGCUGGAGAACUGAGGGGGGCUGCUCCUAGUACGAGAGGACCGGAGUGGACGCAUCACUGGUGUUCGGGUUGUCAUGCCAAUGGCACUGCCCGGUAGCUAAAUGCGGAAGAGAUAAGUGCUGAAAGCAUCUAAGCACGAAACUUGCCCCGAGAUGAGUUCUCCCUGAGACUACGAGUCUCCUGAAGGAACGUUGAAGACGACGACGUUGAUAGGCCGGGUGUGUAAGCGCAGCGAUGCGUUGAGC
rnacentral:rRNA from 1 species